rnacentral:lncRNA from 1 species
AAAACAUGCCUACGGGCCACACAGUGAAGUGAGUAUUUAUGUACAUGGUUCUGUUAGGCAUUGAGUAUGCAAUAUAUGCAUAGAAUUGUAAAAUUACAUAUACGGUCACUAUUUUGCUUUCUACCACUGUUACCACUGACUUCUAAUUUGCCUCUGUUUUUUGUCAUCUCACAGGUGGGGCUGCACUAUUGGAAGGGAAUCACACACUAUCUAUCUUGGAAGGGGAACCUCGCCGGUGGAUGUUGGGUGCUCUGAGUAGCACGGUUGUUUCAGUAAUGUUAUUCGUGGAUUUGUAAUGUUCUUUUUCAUAAAUUGGUGUGGAUUUGUAAUGUUUUAUUUGAACUAUCAGUACUUUAAAUUGUCUGUUUUUAAAAUUCCUGGUACAAUAUGCUUGUUACAUUUGACAUGGUAUGUACUAAAUUGUGUAUUUUACUUGUAAUAUGUGAGAUGUGUAUUUCACUAGUAAUUUGUGGGGUUUGGAAAUGGUUUUCAAACAUUUUUAUGUGAGGAGUGUGGUUUCAAACCACGGUUAUUCCUUGAGUUUCUAGUGAUAGGAAAUAUUUUUUAUGUGAGGGGUGUGGUUUGGAUGAGAUUAAAGGGAUUAAAACCUAUUAGAAAUCCCUUGAGAGUGAAGUGAAGAAGAGGUUGAAUUAAAUUAGUGUUAACUAUCAUAUUGGUCCCUGUGUUUGAGUCGCCGUCUGAGGUAAGUCCCUCGCCGGAAAAAUUAUUGUAAAAGAUCCUCUUCUUUAUAAAUCAUUUGGAGCAGGUCCUCGCCGGAGCCCGGAGCUCCGGCGAGUGAUGAUUUGGACCGGUGACAGGGCAAAAAAAGCUGACAUGGAUUUUAAAAAAAAUAAAAAAAUAAAAAAUUAAAUAACACUUCAGAAUAUUGGACCCAAUUAACAACAAAAAAAACCCUAAUUAAUUAAUAAAAUCAAUUCUCCCAAAGUAAUUCCCCAAAUUGUUCAAAAAGAAUUUCCCCAAAUUAACCCAAAUUUUCAGUCAUUCUAAUCAAAAUUAGUGUUCAUAUUUUGCAACCCAAAUCUUCUUCUUCUUCUCCUCAAAUUAGGGUUCAAUCCAAAUCCUGUUCUUCUUCACCACCACCAACCCCAGCAGCCUCCACCACUUGAACGUAGCAGAAGCACAAACACUGCAACAACGAUCUGGAUCUGAAUCUGAGUGCGACGGAGGACGAUCCUGGCGUCUCAAACCGCCGCCACCGCCGCCGACGAAGAUGACGGUGAUGAUGAGCAGCGUGAACGAAGAUUUCUUCCUCUCAUGUCGAUUUCUUCCUCCUCGCACCGUGACAGAGACCUCAAUCUCUUUCUCUGCCUUCGAUUUGCGCCGAUUCACAGCAAUGCUUGGGUUUGCAGGUUAGGGUUCCAUAUUGGUGGUAUUUGGGGGGUUUGGUUGAAUAUGGAUGAGGGUGGAUCCUUGGUGGUUCGAGGGUGGUUGUUUGUUCUUGCUUCUACCUUUGGUCGUAAAGUCUUGGAGGCAAUUCAAGUUGGUGACCAGAUUCUGUGUUCUGUGUAGCUGCUGCAUACCUGUUCUGUUCUGUUCUGUAUUGGGCGUGGUGUGUUCUUGUCCUCCCCUGUGCGUCUCUGACUUGCUAUUUGUUAUAUUGAUGUACUGAUUCGGUUGGGAUUGAGCCUCCUCCAUGUCGGAAGCAGAAGAAACUGUGGGUGAAGCCUGAUGAGUGGAUCUAUCAAGAGAAUGAAGAAUGAUGUUUUGGUUUUUCUGGAUCUAUCAAGUGGUUGAUCGAUCUCUUCACCUCUCUCUUCUCUCACCCAUGUUCUGGGUUCUUCUGGAUCCAAACUUAGAUUGGGGUGGGGAUUUCGGUUGGGGGUAGGGGUUGGGGUUUUGGUUUUGGUUCCGAUUGCAGGUGAGGGUGAGGAUGCGGGUUGGGGUUUGGGGGUGAAGUUGCGGGUUGGGGUUUGGGGUUUGCGGGUGAGGGUUGAGGUUGGGUGAGGUCGUGAGGGUUUGCAGGUGGGUGAGGGUGAGGGUGAGGUUGGGUGAGGGGGUUUAGAAACUGUGGGUGAGGUUUGAGGUUGGGUGUUCUGGGUUUGUGUUGUGCACUGGGUUUGAGGUUGGGGUGUUUUGAUGAUGAUGAUGAUUCUGGAGUGUUAUUUUUUGGGUUAAUUUGGGGGAAUUGAAGUUAAUUUGGGGGGAAAUUGAUUUUGUUAAUUGAUUUAGGGUUAGAUUUGGUAAUAUGUUUAAUUGUAGUUAAUUUGAUUAAUGAAUCUGACAUGUAAUUUUUUUUAAUUUUUUAAUAUUUUUUUAAAUCCACGUAAGCAUAACUAACACAGUCAGCGAUCCAAAUCAUCACUCGCCAGCUCCGCCCUCCGGCGAGGACCCGCUCCAAAAGUUUUUCAAACACGGGGACUUUAGACCAAAUAUUUUCCGGGGAGGGACUUACCUCAGACGGCGACUCAAACACAGGGACCAAUAUGAUAGUUAACCCAUUAAAUUAAUACUAGUUAUUACAGAGGUUGAAUAAGAACCAAUUAAUACUAUUUAAUACUAGUUAAUACAGAAUAAUACCAAAAUAAAAACCAAUAACUACUUUAUUUGGUUGCCAACUUGCAAUCCCUUGAAUUUCUUGAAUUAGGUUCAUUUUUUACUUCACCCACUAUCUUCACCGCCAAUUCAAAAAGAAAUUACAAAAAAAUUCUCUUUUGGAUCCUUUUUUCCUUUUUUUUCUAAUACUAAUAAUUAUCCCAAAUUUAAAUAGUUUGGACCAAUUUUUUAGUUACUUACUCACUAAAUUUUCGAUACCCUCACUACCUAGUUUUAUUGUGUUAUGUUAAGUUGUAAUGGAAAAAUAUAUGCCCAACACAAAGUGAACUUCAUUGAAAUAGUAAUGGCCAUAAUUGGCUACAAAAUGGAAGAGGGACAAAGGGGAUGACAACAAAGGACAGAAGUAGAAAUUAUUUUGUUCACACGGGCACACACAGGCAUAGCAUUAUACUGAAUCCUUCACACAAGGCGGCCAGCUGCGCGCGAGAUCGAGAUAGCAAAAACAUCUUCAAAAACUGUUGGCAUGCAAUAUAUAUGGUCUCCAGGCCCAACAUGAUUCUCCACCUUGAAUUGAUACCAACCCUUAGCAAAUGAACACUGGUUUCCAGUGGCAUAGUGCCACGACACUUUGACAGUAUAAAGCUUCACAUACUCAUAUACAAAAAUGAUCUUCUCAUAUUUCCUAUCAAGCCACCUUUCUGCAAACCAUGCAGGGACCGCCUACAUGAAGUGAUGAAAAUAGCAUGAUUUAAGAAAAAAUUUAACAAGAUUUUAACAAGAUAAUAGGGGUGGAAAUUCAUGAAUGAAGUGAUGAAACCAUGGUUGUAAGAAAAUAUGCUUACCAAUGCUUGACCUUUUACAGCUUGAGACUUUGUAAUGGGUUUAACAAAGCCUGGACCAAAUGGAAUUUCACCUUCCCUAACCUCCUUCCCUACAAACCUUGGAUCAUUGCUUCGAAUCCAUCCAUAAGGGUAGUCAUCGGUACCAUCAGAAUCACUUUCAUAAUAAACAUCAGCAUCAGAAUCAGAUGAGAUGUCAAUAACCUCAGUUUCGUUUGGGGGUGGGAAUUGGCUAGAGCUGGCCAUUGAUAGACAAUUGAGAGAAGAGAAUGAGGAAAUAAUGGGAGAGAAGAAAGAAAGGAUGAGGUGACUUUAUAGAUAGGCAAUGGUGACUGUGGCUUUAAUAGAUGAACGACCUUAUGGGGGGGAGGGGGGCGGUGGGUGAGGACUUAGGGAAUGAUGGUGUUGGGAACACAAACAUGCAAAAAAAGCUGUUUUGACCACACUAGGAAACAGUAAAAAGUAGAUAUGACAAGAUUCCUUGACCAAGAAUCAUAGAGGGGGGGGGGGAGAUAUGACAAGAUUCCAUUCACCAAGAAUCAUUAAUGGGUGAAUUAAUAGCAUUGACUGACCGUCUAAUAGGGGAGGGGAGUCAUUUUUUUGUUCAAUAAGGGAGGGGAAUGGGGAAUUGAUAUCAGUUAAUAUGCAAGCAUUAAAAUUACAGUUACAAUGCAAACAUUAAAAUUACAGUUAAAAUGCAAACAUUAAAAUUAAAACAAAAUGCAAACAUUCAUCCAUAUCAUGGAAUUUAUUUCAACUAAAUGCAAACAUUCAACCAAAUCAAGGAAUUCAUUCUCAAGUAACUGAACAAAUAGUCCAUAGUGGGGGGGAGGGGGUUAGUUCAGGAUCCACCCAUCAGGUGACAAAACCUUGCAUUGCCUAUCAUAGGAAAUUCAAUGCAUUGUGUUGCCACCACCAAAUCCAAACCAUCAUUGUUGUAAAGUUAGAGUAUAUUACAUGCCCAAAAUCUGUGCAACACAUAUAUAUGCACAACAAAAUAAGCCAGCCAACUAUUAAAUCCUAUUGCUGCCUAUUAAAUCCUACUGCUGCCAGUGUUAAAAAUGCAGCCAACAAAAAAAUACACUUGCCCUUCAACCACAGACUUCACAAGGUCGCAACUACCCCUUCAACAUCAACAGUGUGACAUGCAUUCCAGAAAACAUUGGCCUUCUCCUCCAAGCUCCUCCGAGUGUCAUUGUGCUCACCACAUAACAGAGUUGUGGCAGUGUUCAUGCGAACAACCCUUUCAUUUGGCUAGCAUAAGAAAAAAAAACAGAAAUUAAUUCUCACAAUCCAACAAAACAGUCAUGAACCAUGCAGAUGACUAUUUACUUACAUAGCCAGAUUGAUUGGGAUUAAAUCCAGAACCCAAUUCAAGCCAACUUAACAACCACACAGCUGAAUCAUGGCUGCAGUAAACAUCAAAACAAGAAAGAGUUAACAAAACUUGACAAAAUUAUGAAAUUAGCAGUUUAAUGUUUAAUUUCAAUAAGGACUACCUGCUACCAGUAUUGAGGAUGCCCCUUGCUUCCUUUAGCUUCCAAGAAUGAAAAUCCACCAUUUUCCGGUAAAAAUUAGUUUCCACAUAUCUGUCAUCUGUGCUCAUCAUUUCAACCAAUGUGUUGCACUGAUACAAUAAAAGCAAACAAAUUAAAGUAUGAUGCUAGAAGGUAAAAAGUAUUCAGAUCUCCGUGAAGUAUUAUAUAAACAUUACCAAUGUUUUCAUGGAUGCACAUCUAACCGGUAUGUCCUCCACAUUAAGAUGGGAAUCCAAGUGGUAAUUGGUGUAAUCCCCAAUGGAAAUGAUGCACAAAUACCAAUGGCCAGAAACAGUCUUCAUAGGAAUGUAGAUCUACAAAUGCAAGUAAAUAUGUUAAAAGGUGCAUCACAAUCAUUAAUGAUAGGCAAUUAAGACAUAUUCUUUCACUUAUGAAACUUAAACAAAACUUACAUAUUUCAAAGUGUUGUAUGGAUACAUGAAUGGCCUCAAGUAUUCCUUACACAAUUUCUCAACAGAAAAGCCCUUGUAAACAUCCUCCUAUUUUAGGGGUGGGAACAUAUCAGACUUCAACCAAUAUGAAGAAUAGCAUGCAGAUAAGGAACUCUUUCAAAUCUUACCACAAAACAUGGGGGAAAGCACCAGAUAGUAUCAUCCAUGUGAUAGCUUUGUUCACGCAUGAUCUUGACAGCAACCAAGGUUAUAAUCUAUUUUGCAGAUUAAUAAACAAAUCAGACCCUAAUUAAAACACUAAUUAAUGCUAAUUAGAAACUUAAAUUAACCAGUAACCUUGUCAGUUAUUUCCUGUCCAGGGAUGAGGCAAUCAAAGUCCCUUCUCACAGCUUCAUAACGACCCAUACUCAGCAAAAGCUCACUGAGCAAAAAAUACCGCACAUUAAAAUAUCACCAAAAUACAACAUACAGUUAUAACAAAUUGGAAUAAUUAUUCAACAUACUCUGGGUCACUUUCCUCUUCGAACAAGUAUGUAGCAACCUGAGUAUCAGUCAAUAACAAGUCCAGCUCUUCAGGGACUUCAAACUUUGGCCUGGCACUCUGACAUUACAAAACAUGAACUAAACUUAAUCAGGUUUGAAAUAAAAAUAAAAUAACAGCAAUAUUUGCAAUGCAAAAACCGUAGUAUACCUUUGGAACAAGUGGACGAGGUAAAGGGCGCAUGUAGAGCAUCGCUUGGGUCAUUGGAUUGAUUGAUUGGGGGCCAGUGAUAGGACUUCGAAAAGUAGAUGAAGAGCUAGUAGCUCUUUUGGAUGAGGGUGGGGUGACAAACAGCAUAGACCUUGUUUGCUCAACUUCUUGCCUAACAAAGGCACCAACAAGUCCCUACAAUUUAGCAGAUCUGAUUAGUUACUUAACAAUAAAAAAAAUGCAGAAAGAGGGGUAACAAUUUAAUGAACAUACCUCUACAGAUGUAGCACUUCUGAAACUUUUUUGUAGCCAAGGUGUAAGAAUGCCUUUGCUUGGGUUGGAACCAGCAGAGUCUGUAUUUUUUUCUUCACCUUCAUUCUUCUCAAAGUCCAAAUCAAUGUUGAUUACAUCAUUUUUCAGGAUCUCAGAUGUUGCCCUUGCAUUUUUUCUUUUCUUUUUACAAGCAGCAGACUCAGCAUGAGCUUUAGACUUAAUACCACAUUUUGGGGUUGAUUCUCCAAGGUUUGGUUUGUCAACCAUGCUGAGAAACUUGUCUACCCUCUCCAUGUUACCAUGCAUAACAGUCUGGAUCUGGUGAAAUUCCUCUAGACGAUGGUCCACUUGUUGGAACUUCACCAUAGCUGCCUUCACAGACCCAGCAAGAUCCAUGACAGUAGCGGUUAGUUGUUUAACAUCACUAGACAACUGAGUUUGAUGAAGAGGCUCUACCCUAGCCUCAUCAGUCAAGGUAUCAAGGCUGAAAAUUAAAAAAACAGAAGAAAUAAUGGGAAAAAGUUAUUUGUGGAAGACAAUAAAUGAUGGAUAAAUCAACCAACAGCCAGAAUAACUAACCUUCCUUCCCCUCCAUUCAAUGGAGUAUUGAAGCUAGGUUCAUCAUUGGGCAUCUUUCCAGGGUUAGUUGAUGACAUCACUAAGUAAACUUACAAAAAAUCCCAAAUAGUUAAAAAGAGGAUAGAAGAGAAGAGUGUGAAUAGCCUUCAACCGAAUGUGGGCAUUGGGGUGAAUAGCCCUUUAAUAGAACAGAAAUUAGGGUUUAGUAACAUGUAAACAAGUCAAGUCAGGUCACUUUCAAAUUGGUCGGGGACCCCACACGUGAACUAGGUAUAUAAACUACAUAGUUACAUAGUACUAAGAUUUUCCUUAAAAAGUACUAAGAUUAUAACCAGAAGCAAUUACCUACAUUCAGAUUACUAUAUUAUGUGUGAAUAAAGGACCCCACAAUGAGGAAAUUUAAAAUUUAAAUUAGAAUAGGUCAGAAGAAAGCAUUAACACAAGUUAAAUUAUAAAUUGGAAUACAAAAUACAACACUGGGGUCCCAACAAUGGUCCAUUAAACAUAGGAAAGACUUAAUACAACAGAACUCCCAAAAGAAAUAAAACACUUAAGACAUUUAGGAAACCACAUAGAGAGUGGCCAUAAUUCCAAUGAAAAUACCAAAUAAAACACAACACAUGGUAAUCCACAGCCACUUUAUUGCUCCACCAUCCCUCUUUUUCUCAACCCCACAGCCUUUGAGAGGCUCACAAACUCCAUCUUUUACAGCCUCGCUCAAUGUAGGACACAUUGAGGCUGCAGAUGGAGUUAUGGUUGAAGAAGAUGGACGAAAGUGUAGAUCACCCUCCCAGUAAACAUGUCCCAAUUCCCUUGCUGUUGUCCGAGGAAACUUUGUCAUGGAUUCCUUGGCCAAAAAUUUCAUCCACGCGCUGGCAGCCGCCUCACAAGUGGAGUAUUUUUCAUGAAUGUUCCCAGGGUAGCAAUAGACUUGGCGAUGUACUUCGGCCCAAGUUUUGUAAAUGCCCGGUUCUCUACCCACAAACACAACGUAUUUCCCCAUUCCCUCACUACUUGGUGUUUCCAUUUUUUAGAAGCUCUAUGUAGGACUGUCCCAACCGUUGGUUAUAUAUAUCUAAGAUAGAUAUAUCUAAGAUAGUAAUUACAAUAUUUACUAUGUACCUAACUCUAACAUAACAUAUUAUAUUCUGUGAGUGAACCACAUAGUGACAAGCCUCUGCACGCUGACAGAUAGCCUGUGGCGGAGGGGCAGGGUAGGCUUUACCCUACGCCUGACCAAACGGAAGACAGCUGUGUUAAUUCACAUUCAAGUUAAAGCACAUCACGUGCUUAGUUACCUGAACACGCAUCAUGCGUAUCUGAUGCGUCUCAGCAAAGGAGAUGAGGGUAGAAGACAGGUGAGAAGGGACAGAUGAGUGUACAAAAAAGGUCAGAAGGGACAUAUGAGAUAAGACUUAAAUAUUUAAUAAAUAUUUAUAAUUCAUUAAUAAUCUUUUAUUAUCUACAAAUAAAUAAAUAAAUAAUUAACAAAUAUAAAUAUUAUUUCUAACAGAAUAAUAUAAUAACAAAUAUUAAUAAUUAAAAAAUAUUAAUAAUAAAUGCAUAAUAAAAAUAUUUAAAUAUUAUUUAUUACAAUAUAAUAAAUAAAAAUCAAUUUUUAAUAAAAACAAAUAUUAAUAAAUAAAAAAUAUUUAUUAUUUUAAUUUAUUAUUUUUUAGAAAUAAAUAUAAAUUAUUUUGUUUAUUGAUAUUAUUUACAGUAUAAUACAUAAAAACAAAUUUGUUUUUUUUUUUGGUAAUAAAAAACAAAUUUGAUUUAAACGGACCUGAACAAUUUUUUUUUGGCCCGGAUUGAAGAGGCAAAAAAAAUAAACCAUCUGGGCCAUGACAAAAAUACAUAUACUUACAAAAACUUGGCCCACUUCGCUCGACCAGCUCCUUCAUUCUUCAUUUUCAAAAAAAAAAAAACGUGCUCCUCCUUCAAGCAUACCCAGAUUAUCCUGGUAUUCAUGUCUUCGCCAUAACCUGGGUUUCAUGUCUUCACCGUUAUCCUUCAAGCACACCGAGAUCCUCCCUUGUUUUAACACAAACAGAAAGUGUUACUGUUAGUAUUCAUUCAAUCCAAUAAUUGAACAAAGUAACGAAAAAACCAAAAAUACUUCGAAUCACAAAUUAACAAAGUGUUUGCAGGAUAACAUCUUCGCAUCCCAUACAUGCACUACUUAAUUUCAACACUUGAAAUCUCUUAUUUGAAAACCCCCAAAUUCAACCCUAAUUUCAGAAUAAUGUCAAAUCCCUAAUUUGAAAACCCCUAAAUUCAACCCUAAUUUCAGAAUAAUGUCAAAUCCGUAAUUUGAAAACCCCCAAAUUCAACCCUAAUUUCAAAUUGACUUCAAUUCAAUAAUUUGAAAACCCAAAUUUCAACUCUAAAACGGAUCAAAAUCGCUUUAAUCUAGCAGAACCCCAAAAUUGAACCAAAUAAUUCUCUCUUGUUCAUGCAGUAAUUAUUUUCAAAAUCACCUUAAUCUGGAAAAAACCCAACAAAGAAAAACCAAUUUCAGAACUCGAAAACGACACUUAGAUCACCAACUUGUUUCAAAAAUUUUAAAUCCUAAACUUCAACAAGGAGAAGGGGAUGAGAAAUGAAGAACUUACACUUCGGUGGAAUGAGAAAAGGAAACGCGAUGUGUGACAAAGGGAUUCGCUAGAUCUGGAGACGAAUCCACCCAUGGAAACCGGAUUCGAUGUUGGGCUUCGAAUGAAGGUGGGUUUUCAACGGAUGGUGGGUAUCAAGGGAGGUGGGUUUCGAGGAAGAGAACAGGCGACGCUAAACGAACGAUCUCGGCCUUCGAUGAAGGUGGUUGGAGGAAGAGGAAAGGCGACGAGAACGCUAGAUCUGGAGGUGGGUUGCGAUGAAGGUGGCCAUGAACCCUAAAGAGUUCUCGAGAACAAAAGGCCAAAUGAGUUUUUGUGUUUGAUUUCUGGGGCGUAUGGGUUGAAAAUGAAAGUGAUUUAGAUCUGAUUUUGAAAAUUAAAGUGAGUGGGUAGUUGGAGUAAUUGAAGUGAGUAAGUGGGAGACAAUUAAUGAUUUGUUGGUGUAAUUAGUAGGAGUAAUUAAGUAAUUAACUGAUUUACCUUAUCAUUUUACCUCCCCAAUUACCACUAUGAUUUACCUUCAAUUAACUACUAAUCUUUAUUUACUAAUUAAAUCAUUUAUGGUUUAUAAAUUAAUUAUUUUGUUUUCAAAUAUUUAAAAAAUACAAUAUUACCUAUGGUAUCAGGUCAACCGGGAGUGGUGUAACAUUAGAUCACAAAAAACUGGUCCAUAAUAAAUAAAUCCAAGGUUUGAUGUGUACUUUGUAUUUUUGGGGUGAACAUCAAUAAAGAAAAGAAAAAUAUGACGCAACUCAUGUUGGCCCCUCUAGAGGCUGGGACAAAGAUGAUGAGAUGUUAAGAUACACUUAAGAGAUGUUAAGAUACACUUAUUCUUCAUAUUUUAUGAGUAAUGUUUCAUCCACACCUCUUUUUUAAGGUGGAGAGGAAGGAGAGGUGAAAUGGUGAGAGAGAUAAGAAAAAAGGAAAAAGUAAGAGAGAGAGAGAAAAUAUGAGAUGUGAUAGAUGAGAGAGAUAGAAAUAAAAAUAGGUGGAAAUGAAGUGUUUAAAAAAUGAGGUGUGUAUAUAUCAUUACUCAUAUUUUAUACACAAUACUUGUGAAUUGGUUAAAGACUUCUAAGUUGCAAAACUUACCUAAGUUGGAUGAGUGACGAUCCUCCUCUAAUGGCCCCUUAGGUCGUGGCAAGUAAACGAUCCCAGCAAGAAAUCUCAAGGCAGACUUAUACAUACUCUUAGGUUGGUUAGUCGAAUUUCCAAGACUCUUUAGUGAUUCACUCAGGACCAAACAUGUCACUGCAUUUUAGGGUGUCCUUUCCAAGCGUGGGAAGUCAUCCUCUCAUUUUAGGAACGAUCCAUGUAUAUGAUUUCCCUAUAUAUUACUUACUUUGUGUAUGGACUUGCAAGCCGUAUUCAUAUAAGGCACAAUGGACCAAUUAGAAAUUAGGUUUAGGGUUUACACUUUUUCUACUACAAAAAAAAAGUUUCACAUGUAAUGAUGAUGUUUUUUCACUUGACUUAAUACAAAACGACGACUAGGUCUAAAGAUGUUUUGAAUACGCUUAUAUCCUGUGUGACAUUUUUUUUAUUUAAUAUGAAUUUUAACUUUAGGCUAAACAAUAAAGUAAUAUGAUUAUGUUUUUUUUUUAUAAGCCAUGAAAUAUAUUGAAUAAAGUAAUAUGAUUAUGUGGUUGGAGGGAAUAAAUAGAAAAAAAAGACACAGCAGAGUAGAAAAGGUUGGACUGAAAUUAUAUCGGAAGCGUGAAGCAACACCAACCAAAGCUUGCAAAUUUGUCUGAAACAAUAAUCGCAUGUUGGAUUUCCUCACUCUCACACUCCCUACAUGGCUACGCUUUCGCUCACUCUCAACUGUUGCUGUUGCUGGAGCACCGUGAAGUAUGCUCACACCAUAUAUCCUGCUCCCAUCAUCAAUCUCCUUCACAGUUAGUCUAAACCUUCUUACACCAUUUUUAGUAACCUUUAUUUACUGGAUUUCUCUUUAGUUUCAUAGUUUUAUUGAUGCAUUUCCAUUUGCCCAAUCAAUUUGUGUUUAGUGAUUGAAGAAACUAUAUUGUCUUUUUUAUUUUUUCAUAGGGAGAAGAUAUAGCACAUGUUCUUUUGCCAAGAAGAGAUUGAAGAAAUCUAAUAGAGAUGUACCAGAAACAUUUGAGGAUCUCUCAGAUGAUAAAUUUGUUCAAAAUGACAACUUGGACACUUCUCUUAAUCCAGCUGCUCAGAAUUCUAACCCCAUGCCUUCUAGGAAUGCUGUGCUUCAAGCUUGCACAAUAACUUCUGCUCUGAUAGCGGCUGUCGGAAUAGUGAUUCGGCAGGUGCUCUUCCUUUUUAAGCAUUACUUGAUUGAUCUCUUUUCCCCAAUUUUAGUCUAUUUUAACAAUAUAACUUUGAUUACAUAUGAAACCUGUAUAUGUUGUAUUCUUGCACCAUAUUAGUCUGGAGAGGUUAAAUUGACAUUGAAAGUUAUAUCCUUUAGAACUGAGUUGUUAAUUCGGGACAAAGUUGUGUUUCUUUUUCCUGGAAAAGAGUGUUUUCAAAUUUAUCACCAUUUGGUUAAAGCUUGUUAGCAAGGGAAAUUUGCAUAAACAGGAUGUUAUGCCUAUUUGGUACUUCAUUUAGUUUUUGCAACUUGCAGGUAUCUCAUAUUGCAUCAAUAGAGGGAUUGCCAGUCUUGGACUGCUCUACCGAAGUCUCAUGUAAUACACUCAUGUUUAAUUCUUGCCAUUAGUUUUUGGUCCAAACUUCUACUUAUUGUCUUCUAUUUGAAGGGAUACUUAAAUUCACAAAAAAAAUUGUGUGUCAAGAGCUAUUUUUGGACUCUUAAUUGCAUUGCAUAGGAUAACUGGUCUCCUCAUACAUGUGCUGUUAACAUAAACCAGUGUUGAUGUUUGUGAUUUGUGAAAUAUUUAAACGUAUAUGGAAAUGAAAGUAUAACCUUCCUUGUGUAUACUUGUGUGCACCUGCGUGCUUUGGAGCCGGGCUACACCUGCAUGGAUUUUAUUUAUUGUGACAUUUUCAUGAAUACUGACCUGAAAUACAAACUAUCUCAUCUUCUUCUUGUGGAACUCAAAGGUUAAGAGGACAUGGCUCCUAAGUUCUAAUGGGUUUAAUCAUGGAAAUUCAUGAUUAAGAGAAGUUUGUAUAAUUUUCUUGUCAAGUGCCAGUAGCAAAUAUGAAUGUGCAUGUGUCUUGGUAAAUACAUCUUAAAUAUGUUGAAUUUUUUUAUUAUAAUGCAUGAAGUAUCCUAAGAAUUUUUUUCCCCUUUUAUCUGCAGUUGGUUUUGAAACGUGGCAUCUUGAGUUGAUUACAGGACUUGUAGUGUUAAUAUCAUCAUGUCGUUUUUUGCUAUUGAAGACUUGGCCGGAUUUUGCCGAGUCUAGUGAAGCAGCCAAUCAGCAGGUUAGUUAAUCGAACCAUGGUUCUGGAAAUGCUCUUUAAGAUUUUGUUAACUUUGUUAUUAGUGGGUUUCCAUUUAAAUCUUGAAUAUUCCAAUUGUAGGUGAUAGUAAUUUGAGUUAAUAUUUAUGCCAGAAUCUGACAGGAAAUGGUUCCAAGCUAAGAUUACUUUUCUUGCAAGCCUUGUUUUCUUUUGUCAUUUUUGUGGUUCUGUGUUUGUAUCAGUAUUCAGAUGCUUUGCUUUUACCAAAAAAAAAAGAUGCUUUGCUGAACUCUUGAAACAUUUUUCUUUCCCAAUCAGGUUCUCAGCUCACUCCAGCCUUUGGAUUAUAUUGUCGUUCGCAUUUUUUCCUGGAAUUAGUGAGGUUAAUAGAGCGCUACUCUGCUUGGCUUAUUUCACCUUUUCUUAUUUACUUUCAUUAUUUGACUGACAUCACAUGCUACCAUCUCAAAUUCCAGGAACUACUUUUCCGAGGCGCGAUUCUGCCACUUUUUGGAAUGAAUUGGAAGAGUAUUGGGGUGGCUGCCUUGGUCUUUGGUGUUUUGCACCUAGGCAAUGGUCGAAAGUAUUCCUUUGCCAUCUGGUGAGAUAUCUUUCUAAUUUCUUCCCCCCGCUCCUGCCCCCUCUUUUCUCUCUCUUUCUUCCUACUUGUAUUGCUGUUCCUAGAUCAUAUAUACUUUCCAUUAUUAUGUUGUUACUUGUUAGGCAUGAGAAUUAGAGAAUAAGACUGUUGUUUGUGUUUCAGGGCAACCUUUGUCGGUCUCGCUUAUGGAUAUGCUACAAUUUUAUCCUCUAGCGUUGCAGUUCCCAUGGCUUCUCAUGCAGUGAACAACCUGAUUGGAGGGCUAUUAUGGCGUUACACAUCAAAUACAUCGAAGCAGAAAUGAAAAAUUGUCAUCUUCAUAGAUACGUCACCACCACAUCUAUGUUUUGCAACCUCCUCCCUGGGGUUUGAUGUAAUGUGUACAAACAUUAUGAUGCAGAAAUUCAGAUCACAAGAGGCCAUUCCAUGAGGUUCGUUUGCAAUUUGCAAAUGCAGCAACUAAUUUAGCGGCACUGCUUUCUCCGCCAUUUUCAAGGAAAAAUUCAAGCUUGUAUAUUACUUACAGAUUAUAGAUUUUUUUCUGUUAUAAAUCUAUUGAAAAAUAUGUUUUGGAAUUUACUUACCGUAAAUAGAUAACUGUAAUUUUGUAAUGUAAGUGGGGUUGCUUGGGUUGGUUAUUACCUAUUUGGAUUUUGGUUUGUGACUUCCAUUUUUGGAAUAUGACCUUAUUGACUUAGGAUUAAACCUUUGUUUUUGUUACCCUUUGAAGGAAUAUUACUCUAAAAAUAAAAUGGCAAACAGAACAAACAGAAAACCAAAGCACCCGCGUUUAAGACGAGUUGUCCAUCCUUCUCCCUAUUCCUCACCUCUUUAUAAAAUGCAACAUUCCAACCUGUUUUUUUAUUCAUUCAAUUCAUCUCAACCUCUUCUCUUCCUUCUUUUUUCCUUCUCAUCUUCUUUGUUGUCUAUUCCUCUUUCCCAGAAGUUUGGGUAACCACCACAUAUCUCAAAGCUUCAACCUAUGGCUUCGGUAAGAUCCUUCACACCAUUUCAUUUUCCAAUCGUUGAUGUAAUGAUUUUGCAGUGAUUCUUGUUUAUGAUGAUGUGUAUUUAUUUUUUUCUGCCAUUUCUGUGAAGAGAUGAAUCAAUGUGAAUUUAUAAAUUAUGCAUUUGCAGUAUGAAAACCAAGGAAAGCCUCUACCCAAGUUCGGGGAAUGGGAUGUGAAUGAUCCUGCCUCAGCUGAAGGAUUCACUGUUAUAUUCAACAAGGCCAGAGAUGAGAAAAAAACUGGUGGAGGAGGAUCCCAGCGCAUUACGUCGCAACGAAGAUCCGAUUCGCGCAAGGAUGAUGAUAAAUCUUCCAAGGUAUGUACAUAUCAAUUAUAGGUGUUUAUAUAUUUUAUUUCAAUAAUGAUAUUUGAACAUACAGACUACGCAAACACUCAAUAGACACCUUAUUUUUCCAAUAGACACCUGAUUUCUCGCUCUGGGUUGGGUGUUUGUUAGAUGUCUCCACUAUGUGAAUGUCUACAAAUCACUUUCGAUUUCCUUUCUGCAAUAACAAUAACAAUUAUGCCUAUUAUGAAGCUGAACAUGUUAUUGUGCAUGAAUGUUUUGUUACAGAAAAAGUGGUUUUGCUUUAAACCUUAAACAAGGAUGAUGUCUGUUAUGCUGCUUGGGACGGAUAACAUGAUUCUCUUCAGUUUUCUUCAGAGGCCACAUUUGUUGCCAGAUCACUGAUUAGAGAUGAUGAAAAGAAUGAAAAUAGUUGCAGCCUGCUGGAAUCCCUGGUUUAACUUCUAGUUGUUUCCUUGUUUUCUACCCUUCGCCACCUAAUUCAUACAUUUAAUUAAUGGAUUUAGCUACUUGUACGCACCAGCCCCAAAAGCAAAUAUGUAAAUAGGUGUAUCAAUGACUAUUUUAUUAUGCAAUUACAGAGAGGAGAUAAAUGAGUUUUUAUUAUAUUCAUGAAUCAUGAUGUUGAUGCGCUCAACUAGGGGAUUUUGGUCUUUCGAUUCUUUUAGCUCAUGCCAUGUUUGUAGGAGGGGCGUCUUCUAUUUAAAUAUGGCCAAUUACAACUGGAAUUGUUGUUGAAUGAAGACAAGAAGUAGUUCUCUGCACCAGAAGCAUAUUGCUAACCAUGUUUGGUUGAAAACUUGCAAUAGAUGGUAUAGUAUAUGCAUCGAAAUUAGAAUGCAUGUUUAUUAUGUAAUAAGACUUUUCUAUAAAAUUGAUACAAUGCAAUGUCUUUUAACACUAAUUUGACAAAAUAAAUCACAGAAGAAAAGGCAGAAUGAUGUAUAAACAUCAUUACUUAUUACUCCAUUUGGGUGAAUACUAAUGUAAAACUAACUAAGAAAUACACGGUUUUCAAGACAAAAUGUGAAUGAGAGUUAAGCUAGUCUUUUGACUCUUUACCAAUGAUUGGUGAAACUCCUCUUCAAAAUUGAGAGAAUUUUUAGGUGAUGAAAAAUUAGUUAUGAUUUAUAUAUUUGUUGACUAAUUUUUCUAUCUACCACAAACUUAUUUGUUUUUAUGUGAUUUUUAUAUCACAAUAUACUAUACAGUCUCAAUUUCAUUUUUUUAUUCAUUGCAUUUAACUUUCUUUUUCAUCCAAUUUCCUUUAAUUUUUUCUUUCAUUUCUCUCUUCUAUUCAAAUAGAGUAUUGCUAUAUGGCACUACAUUUCUUGAGCACGAUUACCACGACCCAAUAUAUUCAAUCAUUGACGAAAAUCAUGUUGGGUGUAUGAGUGAGAAAAAGAUGAUUUUACAGAUAAUCUAACGGUGGACAAUUAGUCGUUCAUGGUCGUGUGAUAAAUCAGUAGUGUCAAAAAUCAUUUCCCCUUCAAAUAACACCACUCAUCGUAUCUCUAAUUUCUCUUACUUCUCCCUAUGUCUUUGUGGUUGUGGGUAAAAAUGAAGUAUCAACUAAACAUUUUAUCUUUUCAUAACGGUUUUUCCUCUAUUUCUAUCUUCCACCAUCUUUAUUUGGUUGAAGUAGUUUGAGAAGAGAAAAAGAUGAUGAAGAGAGUUAGAGAAGAGAUAGGGGAGACAACCUUGUGUUGUAGUUGUAGAAGGGAGGGGGAGAGAAAGACGUGAGGGGGUGGGCCUCACCACCUUAAAGGUUCUCUACAAAUUGGGGAGAAAAGAUGUGUAUACAUUUGUUUAUAUUUUUUAAAUUUUCCCUACCAACAAAUUUUUAUUUAAUACUUAAUCUGAUAAAAUUGUCUUUAAACACAAAAAGAAACUUUGUCUUCUCCAUCUUAUUUAUCUUUCUAUCUAUUUCUCUCCUUUUUAUUUUUCUUCUAAAAUCAAACAAAUCAUUAGUGAAUAUAUAUAUAUAUAUAUAUAUAUAUAUGAGAUUAAAUUAUUAACUUUAUUUUGAUAUAAUAUUUGACACCUUACCUUUAGAUAAUAAUAAUAAUAAUAAUAAUAAUAAUAAUAAUAAUAAUAAGAAUGAAGUUAGUCAUGAGAAUGAUGGUGUUGACAAAGGAAACACUAUUUGAUCUGAACAUUUAGAUGCAAAGAAGUUGCAAGUGUUGAUGGGCACCAAGAAGAAGAAUUGGAAGUCAGACGCGAGUACAUAGAAAAGGAAUCAAGACCACUUUUACCUCAUGUAUCUGUAAAAAGCAAUUUGCUACCUAUUGAUUUAGUAAACCACAUUUAUGAAUUCCAAAUAUUGUGCAUUAGAUUGAGGUUUAUUUAGAUUUUUUGAACUGCCUAUGUUUUAAAUGUGGAGUUGUGCAUUCAGAUAGUAUCGGAAGCUAUGGGUGCCUUAGAGAGACCAUGGAUAAAAUUGGCUAUGAUUAAAUUUGAAGGACUCUCAACUAAGGGUUUGAGACUAAAAUCUAGGGUGCCGGUGAAAUAUCUAUCGCCAAUCAUCAUUGCACAAUCCAUUGGGGAUAUUUUAGCUUUUAAGGGCAAAGGGCUUGAUACUAGCGCACACGUGUCCUAGAAUGAGCCGUUGGUUUGCAGUCCUUAGAUGUUAGACAACACUGAUGUUGUUGAUGGCAACAUGAGGCUGGAUUCUUUAUAUUGAUGGACGUAGAUAAUAUCAAUGAGCUUGGCUCCAAAAUUCUUGCAUCCUAUCAUGCUAAUUCUUUUAACUUUAUGCAUAGGAUUUUAAAGGAAGAAAUGAGACAAGGAAAAGGCUGGGAUAAAAUUUAUGAGCCUUUUGAACCCCAUAGCCUUUUGAGCCUAUGAGCCUUAUAUAAGUCGAGAGAGUGUUUGUCUUGCCAAAGCAAAAAAAUUACACCUAUGAAUCUGAUGUAAGAAAGAGCAAUGAUAAUGAAUAUGAUGAGCGUAUUAUUGAAGUAUUUUUAAGUUCAAAUUUAAGUAUGUAAUGCCAAAUUGAUGGAUUAUAGUUGGAUACAUGGCAUUACCUUUUUUCACUGUUGGUGGAACUACUUAAACAAAUUUAUAUUAAGUUAUUUGAAUAAAUUCAUUAGUGAAGUAAUUUAGAAGCUGUACGUAGCACUCUCCUCUUUCUCUUUUUCACGGUCAGUUGUACGUAGCACGCUCUAGAGUACGAUCAAAGAGGGGACAUUAAAUUUGUAUAUUGUGUGAUGCAAGAAACAUACAAACUUCUACCUUAAAUGUAAUGUAUAAGGAAGUUUUUUGUAAUGUUUGUUGUAUUUUUUUUGGUGCAUAGGAAAACUAAUAUUUGUUGUAUUAAACGAACAUGUAUUUACUUAUUCUUUUUUACUAAAUAAAUUAUCCAGUAUAUGUAUUGGAAAUUUUUACUAUUAAACAACAUAACUAACAUGUAAGAUACAUACUAACACGUUUUCUUCAACAAUAAAAAAGAUACAUACUAUCACAAUUUAUAUAAAUUUAAGUUAAAUCAUUCAUAUAUAUAAAAAAAUGAACAAUUUAUAAUUUCCGUGCAACGCACGGGUCAUCACACUAGUUUUUUAAAUUUUCCCUACCAACAAAUUUUUAUUUAAUACUUAAUCUGAUAAAAUUGUCUUUAAACACAAAAAGAAACUUUGUCUUCUCCAUCUUAUUUAUCUUUCUAUCUAUUUCUCUCCUUUUUAUUUUUCUUCUAAAAUCAAACAAAUCAUUAGUGAAUAUAUAUAUAUAUAUAUAUAUAUAUAUAUGAGAUUAAAUUAUUAACUUUAUUUUGAUAUAAUAUUUGACACCUUACCUUUAGAUAAUAAUAAUAAUAAUAAUAAUAAUAAUAAUAAUAAUUACAUCUUUGUUUUAUGAUAAGAACGUGAAAGCGCAAGGAGGAUGUAGGUCAAGUUAAUUUCGCAUAAUCACCAAUGCAUGGUUAUUUUCUCCUUGUCCUACUCUUUCCUUAUCGCCAAUCAUCUUAACAAUGGAAGCUUCAGGAGUUAAAAACAAUUGCGCGCUAAAGAAACUUAUCCUUGAAUGAAACAACAAAACAAUGAAGAUUGGAAUUAAAAAAAGCUCUAGAGGGAUUGGAUGGGAGGGGGCGGUGCUGAAGAGGGGCAAUAAUUAAUGUUAUCGAAUGGCAAUUAAUGCUCGUGAACUAUAGCAUAAUGCAGGCAAGCAUUCAUGAGGAAUAUAUGUCUUUAGAUUAGCUAUGAAGCAAAAAUACACGUAAUAUCAUGUAUCUCAAGACAUUAAUAAAAAGUUGGAAUUUAUCGUGUGUUAAUCGACAUUACGCUUUUAAGUUAUUUGUACUCCAUCUGCCUAUGUAGUUGUUCAGUGAUUCUUAAUAUGUUUUUUUUUUAAAUUAUGCGAUAAUUUCUAUCAAAUUAGUGAAAUUACACAUUUUAACCCUCGUGUUAUGUUGUAAUAUGACUACACUAAAAGCAGUAUCUAGAACUGUGCCUAAAUUUUAUCCUAAUGAAAAUCUUCCACUACAAAAAUUCGGAGGUCUAGCAACGGUGAUUUAACGGUGGUUAAAAAAACAUACCGUCGGUCUUUGAAGUGUCCCAUAUACCUUCAAUUUUUUAAAUUCUUUCGUGUUACAAUUCACAACAAGAGUACUUAUAUUUAUCUAAGAAAAUCUUUUGCAGUAGUUUAUGUUUAUUUUACGUACUUUUUUUUUAUAAAUAUUACUAAUUAGUAAUUAUUAACUUCAUUUUCUGAAGAAUCAAAAAAGUAAUUAUUAACUUCAAACAAGCACAUUAAGUGAUACAUAGACACAUAAUCAAACAUUGUACGUGGCAAUUUACCAUCCUCAUUCAAUCUUUCUCCCUUCAUCAAUUUAGUUAUUGCAUACAUUUCAAUACGAGUCCUAGUGAGGGAUAUGAUUGAGAAGGGAUCCUCUGUGAUAUAGGCAACCCCCUUACUUUUUGUACACACUUUUAAUUCUAUCAACUGUAUAUAUUAAUAGCUAUAAUUUAGUUACAUUUUUAGGUAACCUACAGUUUAAUUUUACCAAAUCAUUAUUGCUUCUAUUUCCCAUUUUUGGGUAUACAAAUUAAUUAUAUAUAUAUAUACAAAUUAAUUUAGUCAUAUAUAUAUAUUCCAUUUAUGAUUUGUUAGGUGCAUGUAGCUCUCCCCCAUAUAUAUCAUAAUAUUUAACGCCAACCAUCCCCUCCUCACUUUCCCUCAUCUUCCAAACUAGCUAAGAAGACACGUAGAAAGAAAGCUACUCUACAAGUAGAAAACCCACUCCAAGAAAGAGAAAUAUGCUUCCCAUAACAUGCAGCAGCCUGCACUUCCCAGCACCACUGCUCAUCAUCAUCAUCUCAUGCCUCGGUUUAAUCGUCAUCCUCAACCACCUCAUCUCCCUCUUCAAGUGGAUCUUCCACACGUGUUUCAGGCCUGAGACCGACCUCGCCGGAACCUACGGCUCGUGGGCUCUGGUCACCGGCGCCACGGAUGGCAUCGGAAAAGCCAUGGCCCACGAGCUCGCCCGGAAAGGCCUCAAUCUCAUCCUCGUCAGCAGAACUGCCAAGAAGCUCGAAAUGGUUGCAUGCGAGAUCCGAGAUAAGCACCCUGGCACCCGCAUUGAGACCAUCCAGGUCAGUGAAAGACUCAGCUCCAUUAGAAACUAUCACUAUGGAACAAGAAAAAUAUAGUACGUUUACAAUUAAAAUAGUUUCUUUGAAAAAUUAAUUUUAACACAUAAGAAACAUAUUAUAAAUAUCAUGUACUAAAUGUUAGUAGCUAGUAAAAAAAUGACUAGUGGAAUUGUCAAUUUUGAUCCUUUCUAAUUAUUCAAUUUUACUUAGUAUUUUAAUUUUCUCUCCCUUACUCAAAUUUUCUGGUUCCAUCCUUGGUUUAGGUGGAUUUCUCCGGUGAGUUCUCAGCGGGGCUCCGGCGGAUUACGGAGGUGGCAAUGGAGCUGGAUCUUGGUGUUCUGAUCAACAAUGUUGGGGUCACGUAUCCGGGGGCGAUGUUCUUCCACGAGGUGGAGGAGGAGGUGUGGAGGAACCUUGUGAGGGUUAACAUUGAAAGCACAACGAGAGUGACGAAAGCUGUUUUAUGUGGAAUGUUACAGAGGAAGAGGGGUGCCAUUGUUAACAUUGGUUCUGGUGCUGGGGUGGUUGCGCCUUCACACCCUCUCUUUACGAUCUAUGCAGCAACAAAAGCGUAAGUUUUCUCACUGCACCUUCCUCAUUCAUUACUUUGUCUUUGCAUGUUCAUAUAUAGCAAGACUACUAUACACAAUAAAUUGUAAUAAAAGCACUUUUACCUAAAAGGAUAGUUUUAUUUAUAAAUUCUAUUUUCUAGGCAUUUAGACAACUUCUAAGAGGAUAAUUUUAUUAUACAUUCUAGGUUUUAAAGAUCAAACAUGAUAAAGUACUAAAAUUUACUUUUUUUAUGGUUUAAAAAUAAUUAUACAUAUAAUAUACACAAACAUUCAAUUGUAUUUCACUAUUUUAACACAUAUAUAUUUAAGUUAAAAAUAAUUAAAAAAUAUAAUAUAAAUAAAGUGCAGUGAAAUUGACAGGGAGAGACACUAAAGUGCAACCCGUGAUGCAUUACGGGACACGUCAAAAACUGGAGAGUUCUGACUCUAGGCACCCUCCACUCCAGACUUGUAACUGAUGAUCACAAAAAAGAAAUAAAACAGUUAUGCAUCACUCUCUUUUUAACUGUGCAUUAAUUCCUCACGGGACAGUUUAUUAAUAUGUAGAUGAUGAACAAUAAUUAUUUAUUCACACCUCAAAAUGAUGUGGAAUGAGGUGGAGGAAGAGAGAUAGGAAGAAAAGAAAAAGUAAGAGUGAGAAAAUAUAAGAUGUGAUAGAUGAUAAGAGGAGAGAGAUAGAAAUAAAAAUAUGUGAAAAUAAAAUGUAUAAAAAAAGAGAUGUAUCAUUACCCGAUGAUGAAAUGAUUGAGAGUGAGACAUCGAGUUUAGUACUAUCAUUUUGGCCUAUAUUUUUAUGAUUUAAAAGUUUUCAAUUAUAAUUUUUUACAGUGGAAAGAUAAAAUACAUUUUUAAGGGAUUGAUCCCUUAAAAUUUACCUCUCUCGUUUAUAUAUUUCUCAGCUUUUACCACUUGAGCUAUCAUUCGGAGAUAAUUGUUAAUCUUAAUUUAUUAAUUAAAUAAAUAUUAUCUAUAUUUAUAUAGGCUAAAAUUAAAGUUUAACUAUAUAAAUUAAUUCAAAAACUUUCUAAAAUGAUUUUGAACUGAUUUAGAUAAAGUCAUUAUUCACUUGAUGAAUAAAAGUGGGUUUGCAUGCGCACAUUGAAGUAAGUUAGCACAAUAAGAUCAAUUGUAGGAUGUUUUUUUGUGAAAAGUGGAUCAAAUGGAUUGAGGGUUGCUUGACGUUGGUUUCAUUCUCAAUUUCGAUGAACAGAAGCUCGUGCGAUGAAUUCUUCAUAUCCCUGUAAAAGGGAUUAGACAAUGUGACUCAUUAGCUCUGUUCUUAUUCUUAAUUAAUAGUGGCUAAGGUAUUGAGUUACCUAUUUAUUUUUGUUGUACAUCGGAUUUCAAUUCUGCUAUGUAAUAAAACAAUCAUGUCUUCAAUCCAAUCCUCUUCAACAUUGUGAUUGACUCCCAUAAUUUGGUUCUUAAAAAAAAUCACUAUAUUAUAUAAGGCCAGAGAUUCUUUCAAAGCAUCUUAAAAUACUUUUAACAGCCCAAAUAUUCUCAUUAGUUUCACAAAGCAGAAUUGUAUCAUCCGCAAAUUGAAGAUAGAUAGCUGAUUUCCAAUUUAUCACUCAUCCUCUGUCGGCUAUUUUCCCUGUUACUGAAAGAGAGAAAAACAUGCAGCUAUGUGCAUCAGUUUUCAAGAUCUCUCAAUAUGGAAUAUGGACAACAUGGGAUCCACGUGCAAUGCCAGGUAUAGUACUAUAAUGUUAGCAUGAUUACUGCACUUUUUCAUGGUAAUGAAACUUACUAUUGUAUUUUGAUGAGGAAUUAAUGAAGGUACCUCUGUACGUUGCGACGAAAAUGGUGUCAAGGGUAGCAUCAAUUAAGCAAAAUUCGCUGUUCAUACCAACACCUGAAGGUUAUGCAAGAGCUGCAAUUCGUGCAAUUGGGUAUGAACCAAUUUCCACACCUUACUGGGCUCACUCAAUUCAGUGGUGCUUCGCUCGCUUAAUCCCUGAUCCGCUUCUUGAUGCUUGGCGCUUGUCCAUUGGUAUGCGUCGCAGGAAUUAUAUAAAGGGACAGAAGAACUAACUGAGAGCUUACCAUUAGCGCAGUGUUUGGGCAGAGCUAGAGCUUGGCUAAUGCAUAAGUUAGUGUUUGGUGUGUGCGUGUUUUGUAUAAAAGUUCCUUCUAACUUUUGUGAAAGUUGGUUAAUUUUAGAGUGAACCGUUUAAUAAUCAUAGUGUGGAAGUUCCAACUUCUUUUAUCCAUUAUGAACUAAAAUCUUUUCUCUCAUUCUUGUGUCUUAUUUUCAGAUAGAAAUCAUCUGUUGUUCAGUCUAGUUUUGAUGACUCUUUUUCAUGCUCUACCAAGUACCACCAUUAAAAUUAAAAUUGUGGUAACGUCAUUAAGCAUAUGCAAGUGGUGGAUUUGUGGUUGUACUCCUAACAGCCUAGAUUUAGAAGAAGAAAAAGAAAGAGUCCGGGAAAAAAAUCUAACCCAAAAAAGAAAACAAAAAACAAAUUGGGCAAAGAAAGGAAAAAAAAGGUUCCGCUUGAGUACAAGUUCAAGUAGAGUAUAAUAUGUAAUAAUUAUAACGACCAAUAUCACAUCCAAUAAGCAAUGAAUUAUAAAGAAAAUAUGAUAAUAAUUAGUAAUUAAUAAAUCAAUAAGUAGGAGAAAGAAAAGGUUAUAAUUUUGCCCUUAGGUUACACAUGAGUACUAGUAUUUAUACAAAAGUGUAGCUAACUAACUUAUAAUACAAGUAACAAACUCAGCAACUAACUAUAACUGACCACAACUAUUAUUCUCACCUAUGUUUUGACUUUUACUUGCUAUUUUCAUUCUGUAUUCUCAAAGAUCUCCUUGGAGCUAGUGUUGGUUUUGUGUUUCGACCAAGCUAGAGCUCAUGAUCCGAGUGUUUACUUUCACUCUCGUCCUCCAAGUCCCCCAAGUAUAUUUCACUCUCGAACCCUUGGGGCUUAUGUGUGAAAUAUCUAACAAGAAAAAUUGACGAGCGGGUGAUUUUUCUUUAUUCCCAGAAAUAAGAGUGUACUAAGAUAACAUAUAUUAAUAUCUCAACUCCAACCGUAGAAGACUAGACAACCAAUAAUCAGUAGAAAGGCACGACAUCCUACUACCCAUAUACUGACUUGAGUUGCUAACCCCAUACCAACUUUAGCACUAGCAGGAGUUACACAGGAGACUAGACUAGGUAUAACACAUAAGCCUGCAUUAUCACUAAAACUGCACCAUACAAGUGUAGAUUUAACAACUUAAUCGUAAAGAAAGUUAAGAAAUAACAUGGAGAUACAAUGAAAUCAUAAUUAAACUUGGGAUUUGGAAAAUCAGUCCUUCUAGAGUAGCAGGGACCCUUCAAGACAAGGAGUUGCCAUUAAGGUUCCUGCAUAAGUAUUUUUUUUAAUACAAACCUCUAGUUUUCUUAUUUGUCUUAUUCAAGUUCAAGUAGUCAUGGGCCUAUGAGAUUUAGGUUCACAUAAAAUGAGUAGGUUCCGCUUGAGUAAAGUUCAAGUAGAGUAUAAUAUGUAACAAUUAUAACGAUCAAUAUCACAUCCAAUAAGCAAUGAAUUGUAAAGAAAGUAGGAUAAUAAUUAUUAAUUAAUAAAUCAAUAAGUAGGAGAAAGAAAAGGUUAUAAUUUAGACCUUAGGUUACACAUGAGUACUAGUAUUUAUACAAGAGUGUAGCUAACUAACUUAUAAUACAAGUAACAAACUCAGCAACUAACUAUAACUGUCCACAACUAACUAUAACUGCCCACAACUAGUAUUCUCACCUAUGUUUUGACUUUUACUUGCUCUUUUGAUUCUGUAUUCUCAAAGAUCUCCUUGGAGCUAGUGUUGGUUUUGUGUUUCGACCAAGCUAGAGCUCAUGAUCCGAGUGUUUACUUUCACUCUCGUCCCCCAAGUAUAUUUCACUCUCGAACCCUUGGGGCUUAUGUGUGAAAUAUCUAACAAGAAAAAUUGACGAGCUGGUGAUUUUUCUUUAUUCCCAGAAAUAAGAGUGUACUAAGAUAACAUAUAUUAAUAUCUCAACUCCAACUGUAGAAGACUAGACAACCAAUAAUCAGUAGAAAGGCACGACAUCCUACUACCCAUAUACUGACUUGAGUUGCUAACCCCAUACCAACUUUAGCACUAGCAGGAGUUACACAGGAGACUAGACUAGGUAUAACACAUAAGUCUGCAUUAUCACUAAAACUGCACCAUACAAGUGUAGAUUUAACAACUUAAUCGUAAAGAAAGUUAAGAAAUAACAUGGAGAUACAAUGAAAUCAUAAUUAAACUUGGGAUUUGGAAAAUCAGUCCUUCUAGAGUAGCAGGGACCCUUCAAGACAAGGAGUUUCCAUUAAGGUUCCUGCAUAAGUAUUUUUUUUAAUACAAACCUCUAGUUUUCUUAUUUGUCUUAUUCAAGUUCAAGUAGUCAUAGGCCUAUGAGAUUUAGGUUCACAUAAAAUGAGCAGGUUUCGCUUGAGUAAAGUUCAAGUAGAGUAUAAUAUGUAACAAUUAUAACGACCAAUAUCACAUCCAAUAAGCAAUGAAUUGUAAAGAAAAUAGGAUAAUAAUUAUUAAUUAAUAAAUCAAUAAGUAGGAGAAAGAAAAGGUUAUAAUUUAGACCUUAGGUUACACAUGAGUACUAGUAUUUAUACAAGAGUGUAGCUAACUAACUUAUAAUACAAGUAACAAACUCAGCAACUAACUAUAACUGCCCACAACUAACUAUAACUGCCCACAACUAGUAUUCUCACCUAUGUUUUGACUUUUAAUUGCUCUUUUGAUUCUGUAUUCUCAAAGAUCUCCUUGGAGCUAGUGUUGGUUUUGUGUUUCGACCAAGCUAGAGCUCAUGAUCCGAGUGUUUACUUUCACUCUCGUCCCCCAAGUAUAUUUCACUCUCAUACCCUCGGUGCUUAUGUGUGAAAUAUCUAACAAGAAAAAUUGACGAGCGGGUGAUUUUUCUUUAUUCCCAGAAAGAGUGUACUAAGAUAACAUAGAUUAAUAUCUCACCUCCAACCGUAGAAGACUAGACAACCGAUAAUCAGUAGAAAGGCACGACAUCCUCCUACCCAUAUACUGACUUGAGCUGCUAACCCCAUACCAACUUUGGCACUAGCAGGAGUUACAAAGGAGACUAGACUAGGUAUAUCACAUAAGCCUGCAUUAUCACUAAAACUGCAUCAUACAAGUGUAGAUUUAACAACUUAAUCGUAAAGAAAGUUAAGAAAUAACAUGGAGAUACAGUGAAAUAAUACUUAAACUUGGGAUUUGGAAAAAUCAGUCCUUCUAGAGUAGCAGGGAUCCUUCAAGACAAGGAGUUGUCAUUAAGGUUCCUGCAUAAGUAUUUUUUUAAUACAAACCUCUAGUCUUCUUAUUUGUCUUAUUCAAGUUCAAGUAGUCAUAGGCCUAUGAGAUUUAGGUUCACAUAAAAUGAGCACACUGAGGUUCUGCUUAAGUACAAGUUCAAGUAGAGUAUAAUAUGUAACUAUUAUAACGACCAAUAUCACAUCCAAUAAGCAAUGAAUUAUAAAGAAAAUAGGAUAAUAAUUAGUAAUUAAUAAAUCAAUAAGUAGGAGAAAGAAAAAGUUAUAAUUUAGACCUUAGGUUACACAUGAGUACUAGUAUUUUUACAAGAGUGUAGCUAACUAACUUAUAAUACAAGUAACAAACUCAGCAACUAACUAUAACUGCCCACAACUAGUAUUCUCACCUAUGUUUUGACUUUUACUUGCUCCUUUGAUUGUGUAUUCUCAAAGAUCUCCUAGGAGCUAGUGUUGGUUUUGUUUUUCGACCAAGCUAGAGCUCCUGAUCCGAGUGUUUACUUUCACUCUCGUCCCCCAAGUAUAUUUCACUCUCGUACCCUUAGGGCUUAUAUGUGAAAUAUCUAUAAGAAAAAUUGAGGAACGGGUGAUUUUUCUUUAUUCCCAGAAAUAAGAGUGUACUUAGAUAACAUAUAUUAUUAUCUCACAUCCAACCGUAGAAGACUAGACAACCGAUAAUUAGUAGAAAGGCACGACAUCCUCCUAUUCAAGAUGUCCCUCUUUGCUAGAGAGGGCAGAAUAAAAUAGGAUUUCAAAGACUUGAGUUCUUGAUCAAUGCAGCAUAAAUAAACCAUAGAUUACAAAGUGUUAAACUAUUUAUCUUGCCUUUUUAAUUGUUCUUUUUAAUUGACCAUUCUCGUUCCUUAUGCUUAUUUUACUAUUACAACACAGAAACUUAUCUAGUAACCAAAUUCAUGAUGCAUUCCGGCUUCAAUUGGAACAAUAACUAUUUUACAAGUUUUAUAAGUGACUUCUUGUUCUCGCUCUUCUUAGUGUUAUAGUUUUGGAAAGUAACGAGAGAGUGAAAGAGAAGAUUUUUAGGGAAAUAAUAUUUUUUUGUUUAUAACUUGGAGCAAUACAUGUUUUAUAUAGAAAACAUAAAAGACCUAGCUGCGGUUGAAAACGCCGCAGAUUGCAUACUCCAUUUCGACUCUAUUUUACGGUGGUUUUAACCGCCGCUAGAUACUAAUUAUUUUUUCUUCAUGAUCGCUUCUAUUGCGAAUUAAUACAUAAAAGUUCAUUACUUUCAUAUAAUUUAACACAGCACAGUGCCUAUGACUAACAAAUUCCAAUUUCGACUGUAUAUAUAGGAGCAACCAUUUUCAUCUGAAGUUAAAUAAUGAAUAUACAAAGUUGGAGGCCUCAAACUCCUCAAAACAGAAUGCAAAACUGUUUAACAAAUUUACUAAUUUCGUCUAGACAUUUGCAUGUCAAAACUAGAAACAAAUUAUAACAAUCAAGUCUGUUAAUGACCACAAUUCAUUAGCAUACAAGUGAUCUUUCCUAUUUUUCUAAAAAAGACAUCAUCAUGAAUAGCAAGAACAAUUCUUGUUAGUGAAAAACAAAUUGCAUAGUUAUCAUGAUUAUUAAGUUGUGAUUGCCUAAUGUCCAUACAGCAAACCUGAAAGCAGAGUUGACAUUGUUACAAACACUGUAAGAUUGCUUGGACUUUUAACUUGAAUAAGACAAAUAAGAAGACUGGAGGUUUGUAUUAAAAAAAAUACUUAUGCAGGAACCUUAAUGGCAAAUUCUUGUCUGGAAGGGUCUAGAAGGACUGAUGUUUCCAAAUCCCAAGUUCAAGUAUGAUUUCAUUGUAUCUCCAUGUUAUUUUUUAACUUUCUUACGAUUAAUGUGUUAAAUCUACACUUGUAUGCUGCAAUUUUAGGGAUAAUGCAGGCUUAUGUGUUAUACCUAGUCUAGUCUCCUAUGUAACUCCUGCUUGUGCUAAAGUUGGUAUGAGGUUAGCAGCUCGAGUCAGUAUAUGGGUAGGAUGAUUUAUUGCCUUUCUACUGAUUAUUGGUUGUCUAGUCUUCUACGGUUGGAGAUUAGAUAUUAAUAUAUGUUAUCAUAGUACACUCUUAUUUCUGGGAAUAAGGAAAAAUCACCCGCUCGUCAAUUUUUCUUGUUAAAUAUUUCACACAUAAGCCCCAAGGGUACGAGAGUGAAAUACACUUGGGGGACUUGGGGGCGAGAGUGAAAGUGAACACUCGGAUCAUGAACUCUUGGUCAAAACACAAAACCAACAACAGCUCCACGGAGAUCUUUGAGAAUACAGAAUCAAAAGAGCAAAUAAAAGUCAAAACAUAGGUGAGAAUAGUAGUUGUGGUCAGUCAUAGUUAGUUAUUGAGUUUGUUACUUGUAUUACAAGUUAGUUAGCUACACUCUUGUAUAAAUACUAGUACUCAUGUGUAACCUAAGGUCUAGAUUAUAACCUUUUCUUUUUCCUACUUAUAGAUUUAUUAAUUACUAAUUAUUAUCAUAUUUUCUUUAUAAUUCAUUGCUUAUUGGAUGUAAUAUUGGUCGUUAUAAUUGUUACAUAUUAUACUCUACUUGAACUUGUACUCAAGCGAAACCUCAAUGUGCUCAUUUUAUGUGAACCUAAAUCUCAUAGGCCCAUGACUACUUUUUUUUCCUUUCUUAGCCCAAUUUGUGUUUUCUUUUCUUUUUUCGAUUAGAUUUUUUCCCGGGCUCUUUCUUUUUCUUCUUCUAGCCAAAUCACCCAAACACUUCUUUUGGUAACAGAGGAAUGAACACACUAACAGAAAACCAAACUUCAAUUAAUCUUUUCCUGAUUAUCCUCCUCCCUAUAACUUUUGGUUGGACACAAUCGACAUUGAUGAGAUAGCAAAAAAGAGAUUUUAAAGAAUGGAGGAAAUUUAUUGCAACUUUUUACCAAAUCAUAGGUACAUGACCAAAAUCUAGAUUCAAUUUUCUUCAAAUGCAUAAAGGUUACUACAAAAGAUACACGCCAGAAAAUAUUGUCAAAGUCAAAUCUGAAGAGGGUACUUCACUAUACUCAAUGUAUUCGGUCUGUCGAAGGUCAAACAAUUUAAAUGCAACUGUAUGACAAAAUUGAAAAUUAAAGUUUAUCAUGAAUCAUAGUCAAGUUGCAAACAGAUUCUACUUGCCACCAUUUCUAAAAAGUGCAAGUUGGAACUCCUUCGCCACAAUGAAGUAUUUAGCAUUUAUAAUUUCUAUUUUAUCAAAAUGUUACUAAAUUCUGAUGACAUCAGUAAUAUAAACAAGGCUUAAUUGCACAUUUAGUCCCCCACUUCUACACUUCCUACAAUUUUGGUCCCCAACAAAAUUUAAUUGCAUUUUAGGACCCCCAACGUUGUUCUCCGUUAGCAAUUUUGGUCUUCCGUCCAAUUUCUAGCGGAAAUGCUGACGUGGCAUUCAUAAAUAAUAUUUUAAUUGAAAAAAAUUAAUUUCCUUAAUUAAACUAUUUUCAUAUUGAAAAAAAAAAGAGAAAACGAAUCAAUGCAUCACAUCUUCUUCUUUCUUGUUUCUUCUUCUUAAUUACCCAACCACCAUCUUCAGCCUCAAGCCCUCAUUCACACACCACCAUCGCCACUCCCAUGUCACGACACUCCUCCUCCUCCUCUUCGUAUUCUUCUUCUUCUCACCACGCACCACCAUCCAAAUCGCCUCUACUUGGAACCCAAAUCGUCCUCUCAUAGCAUCAUCUUCUUGCAAAACCUUGAUGAUCAAAUCAGGUCCCAGAUCUUAAAGAUCACAACAUUGAGCAUUGUGUUGUGGGUCGGUGGAGCUCCAAUGAGAUUCGAAGAGCUGGUUCGACGAUGGCCUUUGCGGUGGCCAGAACCUUCGAUGGUGGUGUCACUGUCGUGGAGAAGAAUCCCGAUUUGAUUCAGAUGGAGGUGUGAUUCAGAUGAGGGUCAAAUGGGUUCUGAAAAAGUUUGAAGCUUUAGGGUGUGUUUGGAGAGUUUGAUGGCUGAAAUGGGUUGAAAAAAUGAUGAAUCUGAAUGUUAAUUUGUGCUUCAAAGGUUGAUCUAAAUGUUGGGUCGGUGGGGGGUGUUUUCGAUUGGUUAAGAUGGGGGUGGAGGGGUGGUGCGGUGGUUGAGUGGUGGUGGUGCUUGGGUGGUUGAGUGGUGGUGUUGUGGUGCGCAGGUGGUGGUUGAAUGGAAGAAGAUGAUGGGGUUUAUUUUCCUUUCCUUUUUUUUCAAUAAAGAAAAUAGUUUAAUUAAAGAAAUUAAUUUAUUUCAAUUAAAAUAUUAUUUAUGAAUGCCACAUCAGCAUUUCCGUUAGAAAUUGGACAGAAUUGGGACGGAAGACCAAAGUUGCUAAUGGAGAACAAUGUUGGCCGUUAAAAUAUAAUAUAAAACCAUUAAAGUGACCCUUACCCAACAGCUUAGCUUUUGGGAUUAAGUGGUUAUUUGAUUUGGUAUCAGAGCCUCUAUGACCGAGAGGUCUAGAGUUCGAUCCUUACUCCCCUCACUUUCUAAUUAAAAAGUGAAAUUUAAUUAAGCACAUGGUAGGUGGGCUUGUGCAUUUAUCCACGCUUCAAGCCCAAAGGCUCUUGCGUGAGGGGGGUGUUAGAAUAUAAUAUAAAAUCAUUAAAGUGACCCUUACCCAACAGCUUAAGCUCUUGGGAUUAAGUGGUUAUUUGACAUGUUGUUGGGGUUCUAAAAUGUAACUAAAUUUUGUUGGGGACUAAAAUUGUGAAAAAUGUAAAAGUGGGGGACCAAAUGUGCAAUUAAGCCUAUAAACAAAAUCAUGGCUAGUUGUAACACAUGAAAAAGUUAUAAUGUCAACAACAAAUUAAACACAUUGUAUCUACCAAAAGCAGUGCAAACUUUGAUUUUGUACCAAAACUUUACACAAUUAAGACUAAUAGUUUGAUCAUCGUAAUUUUUGUAAAACUUGUUCUAGGGAGAGAAGUUACCUUGGGGAUUUUGAAUUUAUUGUAGACAUCUUGAAGGACCUUGUUGUUCUGAAUCAUUUCCUACUCAUUACUACCACGAUUUGUUCAUAUUCCUUUGGCAUCAGUUUUGAAAAAGAGGGGAGAUAAUACCUAGAAUUUUAUUAAACAAAACCAUCAUAAAAAAUCUGAAAAGGACAAACAGAGAUUUACAAUAUCAAUGAGUAAUAUAGUAAACUGGGCAAAUGAUAAGAAUCCCUAAGAAUCAAGUAAAACACCUAAACUAGUAAAACCAAAUCCAUAUUUGAAUAAUAGUUGAGUAAUUCUAGUUUGUAUUCGAACCAGCCUUAGACUGUUUUUGAACUAAAACCCACAUUUUUUAUUAAUUGUCACAUUUGUUUACUAUUCUUUCUUAACGGGCUUACCAUUAUAUUUAUUAUUAGGAUAUUUAAGACACAAGUUUAAAGUGAUGGACAUUAGUGCUAUUGCUAUUUCCUAUGUAAACAAAAAAAAAAGUGAGAAUCAAUGACAUAUUUUUUCUUUGCAUUGAAAAAUGUGUGUUAUAACAAUUUUAGGAUAUAAUAACAACAUAUAAAUGUGAUAAAUUUCCUUAGAAAAACUAAUAAUCAAUAAUCAAUUAAAAGUACUAAAAGAAUAAAUUCAUUUUUUUAGGAGAAAGAUUUACGAAAAGAUCAAAUCUAAAACAUAAAAAAGCGUAAUAGUUAUUAGUGCGAAAGUUUCAUUGGAUGAAAUGCAAGGGAGAAAUAGGUUCUUAUAUUUUUCUUACACUUUGAAGAUUAAUUAGUUUAAUUUUUACUUUUUUUGUUAUAUAUAUAUAUAUUUCUACUAAACAUAAUUUAAUUUAUGUAUUGAAAUUCAGUCUCCAACUAUAACAAUUUUUUUUACUUGGUCCCCCAAAAUUUAUCUCCUGGUUCCGCCACUAGUCCACUACUAGUGGCCUUUACGUGUUACCGAAUUCUUCCACCGUUAGAAUGAAAAAAGUCAAAAAACUGAUCACCUAUGAACAAUGACUUUUGUGUAAAAAAAAAACAAUGACUUUUACUUUACAUUCAAUACAAGUUGACCACAUUUAUUUUGUUGUUUUUUACUUCAAUACUCAAUAGAGAAAACCCCCUGAAAUAUAUAAUUUGCAUUAUAUUAAACUCUACAUUAUAAUCAUAUUUGCAAGAAAGAGGGUCCAAAAAUUCUUAAUUAAUAAAGAAAGGAAAGCAAACAGUGGUAUUCAAAACGCAAGUUCUAAUUGUGACGUCCCUAAAAGUGUGGACGUAUGAUAACAGUUGGUUCAGGUGGUAUUUUUUUUAUAAGCAAAUCAAAUAUAGUAAUAGAAGUACAAUGAUACUUUAACUCAAUAUAAAAAGAAGAGUAGUAAGUGAGGAAGAAAUUACAACUCAAAUCCACUUUAGAGAUCCCCGGAGGCAAGACUUUUAAAAACAUGUCUCGUUAAAACCUUACAAGAAAAACCUCAUUGAAAAAAACAUUUUGAAAGAAAAAAAGAGUGAUGCUAACUUUACUCUUUAGAGUGAUUUCAGAGCUUAAUUCGAGAAAUAUAACACUCAAUGAGAGCUUGCCCAUAUCUAAUAUUUUCAUUUUUUUUGAUAAGCCAAAUGUGUAUUAUAAAUAGAGGUACAAGGGGUACCACAACCCAUAAUACAAAAUAGAGUGCACUACAAAUAGAGAAAAGUAAAAACAGGACAGCAACCAAAUAGAAAGCCAGACAUCAGGCAAAAAAACACAAAAUGAAAACAAAGCAGAAAGCUCUCAAUCAUUUGUAUUGUAUACCACCAAGUUCAUUCAAAAUGUCCAAAUGCCAACACAUCACCAUGCUGCUACCUUAGCAUCCGUUCCAGCAAAAUCCCCACUCUGCAACCACCUCAGAAUUUCGUAUUUCACAUACCAGCAACACAUAAGGAAGGAUGGGCAAACCAUUCAUAAAAAGAGCAGCUAAAGCCUUUUAGAUUAGCUUUAUUCCAUUGCCAAGAGCGCCGCUGAAUCAGAUCAAAAGUCCCAGACACAUCCACCAGUUUUCCUCUAAAAGCACAGUCAUUCCUGAGGAGCCAGAGGGACCAAAUAGUUGCCAACCAGAUUGAGAACAUACCUCUCUGUUGGUAUUUAUUUCUCCCAAAUUUAAAAUGGUUCAAGUGAUCGCGAGAGGACAAGUGGAUUACAACAGAACACCCAACCCAUCCAUAGCAGCGCUUCCACACUUCCCUGGAAAAAGAGCAAUCAAAGAGAAGAUGGAAACUUGUUUCAUCUACAUUUCUGCAGAAGAAACACUUAGCCUCACCAUGUGGAAGAGGGACCUGACGCCUCCUCAAGCAAACCAGAGAGGCAAUUCGAUCCAACAUAACCCUCCAAGCGAAUGCCUUCACCUUCUAAGGAGCAGAUGAAUUCCAGAUCACCAGGAGAAUUGGAUCUUGAGGGGGCAACGAUGGUUCCUGUAAGAAACAAUAAGAGGAUUGGACAGAAUAAUUCCCAUCAGCACUUGGAAGCCAUGUCCACUUAUCCGGAACACCUUGCUGGAGUUGAACAGUAGCAACAUCACGAAGCAAGGAUUGCUCCCACAACAGCUCACGGCCUCUAAGCGGACGACGCCACUUGAACUUCCAAUGCCAAGACCUGUUAAUCCACUCACCACAAUCACUCACACUUGCCAAUUUCAGGUAGGAAAGAUUAUACAAUCGAUGGUAUUUCGACACUAAGCUUUCAGCUCCAGCCCACGGUUCCCACCAAAAUGGAGUGUCAUUCCCUUCCUUAAUAGCUUUAGACGAGCCAGCAUCAAUCCAGCUAACUCCAUCCACCCUACAGGCAUCAUUCAGAUCACGCCACCAAGGUGAAGGCUGAGAACACGUACCUGAAAAAUAUUUUGCUUUAAUUACUCGGCACCAUAGGCUUUUCGGAUCAGUCCGCAGCCUCCAAAGCCACUUCCCAAGCAAAGAUUUAUUAAACAACUUCAGAUCUUUUAUUCCUAACCCUCCCACCUCCUUUGGCAUACAAAUUGAAUGCCAUUUGACCCAAGCAAUCUUACUAACAUCCUCCGAGCCACCCCACAGAAAACGUCUCAUAAUCCCUGAGCAAAUACUUUCAACACCUGCAGGCAGCUUGAGAAAAGAAAGGUAGAAUAGUGGCAAGGCUGAGAGCACGCUUUGGAUUAAACAGACCCUACCACCAAAUGAGAUAGUUUUAGAGCGCCAAGCUGAUAGCUUUCCCCUAAACUUCUUAAUAACCGGCUCCCAAGUCUCCUUACGGCUUGGGCAACCCCCAAUUGGGACUCCUAGGUAAGUAAAUGGUACAGUCAUCGUCCUGCACUGUAAAAUUGAAGCAAGCUGAUUAGAAACAGAUACCGGGACAGCAAUCGAGGCUAACUUACUUUUGUUGAAGUUAACUUUGAGGCCCGAGAUCAAUUCAAAACAUCUUAACACGCAUUUCAGCACCACCAUAUUCUGGACCGUCGCCUCUCCCACAAACACCGUGUCAUCAGCAAAUUGUAACAAAGACACUUCACAAUCAGCGGACCCACCAACCUUAUAGCCAACAAAUUUACUCAAAGCAACAGCAUUAAGAAACAGCCCAUUCAACCCUUCAGCUAUAAUCAAGAAGAGGAAAGGAGCAAUGGGGUCUCCUUGCCGGAUUCCCCUUUCCAUCCGAAACUCAGCACUUGGGCUUCCAUUCACUAAGACCGAUACUGAGGCAGACUGAAGGCAUCCAUGGAUCCAUUUAAUCCAACGAGGAUGGAAGCCCAUUCGUCUCAUCAUGUAAAAAAGGAACUCCCACUCCACCGAGUCGUAGGCUUUUUCAAAGUCUACCUUAAAGAUACUGGUUGCCCUUCGCUUAUACUUAGCUUCAUGGACAACUUCAUUAAGAACCACUGCACUAUCCAACAUAUGGCGACCUCCAAUGAAGGCAGAUUGUCGCUCAUCAAUAAUCUUCCCCAUAACAGGUUUCAGCCUAUUUGUCAGCAGCUUCGAGAUCACUUUGUAGAUACAUCCAAUAAGGGAUAUUGGCCUGAAAUCAUUAAGAGACUGAGGGGAAUUGAUUUUAGGAAUGAGAGCAAUAAAGGAUGCAUUGGAUCCUUUCGGCCAAACUCCACGCUGCCAAAACUCCUUAACAGUCUUCAGGAAAUCAACUUUUAGGACAGGCCAAAACUUCUGAACAAAUUUAAAGUUAAAGCCAUCGGGUCCUGGGCUUUUAUCACCCCCACAAUCCCACACGGCAUCCCUAACUUCACAGUCGCUGAAAGGUUCAAUCAAAGCUGAGUUAUCAGCAGCAGAAAGGGAUUUAAAUUGCACUCCAUCAAGAGUUGGACGAAUCCAAGAAUCUGACUUAAAUUUCUCAGCAAAAAAAUGGUGGACCGCUUCCUUCACCCUUGCUGGCUGAUCUUCCCAGAUACCAUCAACCAUCAAACCGACAAUAGAAUUGGCACGUCGCUUCCAAUUAAUCGUAGAAUGAAAGAAGCUGGUGUUCUGGUCACCUUCAGAAAUCCAUCUAGUCCGGGCCUUUUGAAACAGUAAGGAUUCAUGAUACCGCAGAACCAUCCAGAACUCAACCAUGAGUUCUCUCCUAUUAUAACAAAGGAGUUGUCUAAAUGACCCAAGAAAAAUUUGGGUUGAAUAACAUAUCAUCCAAUCACAUUGAAGAUAAGUGAGUUGGAAUUUUUAUAUUUUAUUUAUUAAUUUAUUUUCAACUCACUUAUCUCCAAUAUGAUUGAAUGAUGAGUUAUUUAACCGAAACUUCCUCAUAGGUCAUUUAGACAACCCCUAUAACAAAACAUGCACUCAGAUUAAGUUGUCGUAGUGCUAAAUCACUAAUGUGAAAUCUUAACCCUAGUAUUAAUAUUUAAUCACUUGUUUUCCGCUUUCUCUGGAGUCUUCUUAAAUCGCAACCACUAAGGCACUAACAAUGAACUACAGAGGAAACAACGACAACUCACUCGCAAUAUUCCAUUAAAAAUAUUCUGUUAUGUUACGUACUGUCUUAUGUUUCUUAAAAUAUAUGCUUGAGUUCUUCAACUUUGUAAUUAAAUAUUUGUGCUUUUCAAAUUACGUGCUAUAUUAUCCUCAUCUAAACAAAUUCACAAGCCUCAUGUGUUGGUCUGAGUGAAAGGAGCUCAGAUCUCUUAAACAUGUGGUCAAGCAUUGGUCCCUACUUUAAUACGUGACAUUCAUGUAGGAAAUUAAUCUUUCACCUAUUAAGUAGUGGAAGGAUACUAGAAAUCGGAAAAGAAUAAAAGAACAAAUUCACAGGCACAAUAAGCUUAUUUUGAAAGUAAAAAACUGCAUACUCCAUCAUCCACCACUAACGUAGCAUUCAACUUGUUCAAACAACAAAACAAUGUACACACUUAAUUUAUAAGAUCCAUUCAAAUUUACCCAGAACACAUAACUAAAGAAAGAAGAGAGAGGGAAUAACCACCGUUUGAUAAAGGGAAAAUAAAAAGAAAAGAAAAAGUAAAAACAGAGAGGGAGAGAAAGUAGUUACAAACGGUUAACGAUUUGUUUGCAGUUUAUGUUUCUUUCGAAACGCAACCUCCGUGUCCAAUCCGAAACCAUCAACGGUGCGGACAUGAACCAAAACUGAUUUGUUAAAAAGCUCUACGAGAGGCUGCACGCUGUAGAGGUCGUUAGCGGAGUACUUAUCGGCGCGACGCGAAAGCGCCACGUGCAGCACGCACACACCGUCAGGCUUCAACGUGCGUUCAAUCUCUGCUACAAACCGCUGUGGGUACAAUGCGUGAUCAAACACGUUGGAGAAUUCAAAAUCAAACAUCUCAUCACCAAACGGUUGGUGGUGAAAGUCACCCUUCACCACCAAUGGCGGGUAGGGGACCAAGUCGAUUCCUACAGAAUCAACCACACCUACCCGCCGUAGGGCCUCCACCUCCUGACCCACGCGUGCGCCAAUGCAGAGGGCCUUGGAGGUGUUUUGUAGAAGGCUCUUGUCCUUGAGGUCUUCGAAGAACCGCGCAAAGACGGGGAUCUUCCGGUUCCAGUCGCGGGUGGUCCAUAUCUUUCGGAGCCUUGGGUUGAGGGUCUUGUUGAGCUGGCGUUGUAUGUAGGUCUCGUAGGAGGUGUAACCGGGUCGGAUUGUGAGAUCUUUUGUUGUGGAAUGAGAAUGUUGAGGUUGUUGUUGUUGUUGUGGAGAGAAUAGAUGGAGGAAGAGGAAAGGGAGGGACAGGAAGAGUGAGAUGAGGAAGCAUCUUAGGAUGAAUGGUUUUGUGAGCGUGAGUUUCAUAUCCGUGUAAAAUGCUUAUGGUUGAUGAUGUAGUUAUGCUCAGUUUGCAUUGUUAUUUUGGUUUUUGUGUUUUGGAUGGUGUGGGAGAAAUGGGGGCCAUGAAAAGUUCUGGAAACAGAAAUUUGAAACACAAAAAUGAGAGAGAAGAAAAACUAAACCAAUAUAAUGAAACGAAAUUUCAGUGAAUUAAAGCGGAAAAAGGUGAUAGAUAGUUAGAUACGUCGUUUGUGAUGAUUAUUAUGAAAAUUGGCAAAGAAGGAAGUACGCGUGGUGCGCAGUGCGCGCAUGCAAAGAAUCAAGGUGGCACUAUUUUUGUGUGUAUACUGUAUAAGCUUCAUUUUGCGUUGUGAAUUUGUUAACUUUAAGCCUCACUUUUCCGUACAUCGAUUGAUAGCAUGUAGAAUAAUACGAAUUCACGUUGAUUACAGAGCGCUUUAACGGGUAGGAGGGAAAAGAAAAAGGGAUUAAUUAAAUAAAAGUAUUAAUGGGUCCAAACUGAGCCAGCAAAUUAAGUGAUAAAUGGUUGGACAAAGCCAUGAUUAUAGGGAGAGUGAGGAGAAGUAAGGAACAAGUCAAAGUGAAAUUAAUCAACGUGAUCAUGGUUAUAUAAGGUUGCCGUCCCAUUCAAAUAAUAUAAAAAACUAAAAAGGUUAAUCAAUAUUUUUUUUUUUGAGUAAAGGUUAAUCAAUAUAUUGAAAACAUAUUAACCAAAAAAAAAAUAUUGAAAACAUAUGUGUUUAGCUGUUUGACCGCUAUUGUUAUUGUGGAUUUCUAAACCAUCAAUUUUUUUUUUAAAUGCACCGUAGAUUGUGAUGGUAAAAAACCAUCACAUCUACUAAAUUGCCUUAAAGGCUUAAAUUAUCAUAUAUCGGAUGAAUUUCGCUCCAUCUUUAUGUUCACUAAAUAUUACCAAAUUUUAUACAGUGAAUAUUGACAGGCUGAACAAAAAUUGGAAUAGGGACACUCCAAUGCAAGGGAAAGUAUCAAAUAUGAUCAUGUGAGGUCAAAUUAAACUUGACUUAUUAGGGCAGAAACUACAUGCAUGUGAUUACAAAAUUCCAAUGAAUAUGUUCAAGCUGCAUGCAUGACUCUUCUGAUAGGUUCGCCAAUCACCAUGCAUAUAUAUGUUGCAUCGUUACAGUUAUUACAGUUACAUUCAUUGGUUAUCUGCGGCCAUAGCAAUGGGAUCAGUAUCUCACCCAAUCUUUAAUCGGCACUCCUCCCAAUCUUGCCAUGAACGAAGCAAGAUUUUGUAAUCUUCUAGUUUAACCUUUGUUUGGACUGAAAAAUGUAAAAGAAGAAAAACACGAAAUCUGAAAAAAUAAAACUAAAACUUAUUAUUUGAAAAACAAAACGAGAAAAGGAAAUCUUACACCCAAGCAAUUAAAAUAGUUUUGUAAUUUCAAAUUUUUGAAUUUUCCUCUUUUACAUUUUAAUUUUAAUGUUCAGUACAAUUCCAUCCCCCGACAUCUAACAAUCUAAUUUUCAAUUAAAAAGAUUUGUUAUUUCGCAUUUGUAAGUUUCCCUCUUUUACAUUUUAAUUGAGUAAAUACUAAAUAGGUAAUUCAGUCCUGAAUUUUUUUUGGUGCUUAUUAGUCUUUGGGAAAAAAAAACUUUGUAAGUCCACGAAUGCGUAAAUUGCCACUAACAUACAUUAGUAAAAGUAACCAAGAAGUAUAUUUGGGCACUUACUCCACUACAACAAAUCGCGUAAUUAUUGACGGUCAAAAAACCGUUACAAAAAAUCUCACUUUACUUGUUCUUCUAAUAUGCCAAAAACUAGGCUUCGUUGGGCUAGCUUUCUAAGGCUCAAGUCUCUUAAACGUACUUUGAGCCUGAAUUUGACAUAUUAGUCUGAAAUAAGACAUUUUUACGGUAUAGUAUGACCCAUUUUAAAGUUCGGUCAGCUUAAAAACCUACUUAAAAUGUUAAUUUAUAAUGAGUAUUCAAAUGAACAAUAAGUUUUUCUCUAAAUUGACAAACAUGUUAUAGGUUCAAAAGUCUUUUGAAAAUGGCCCAAAUCUGACUUUUUUUUUAGUUAAAUGUUCUUUAUAAAAAAAAUAUAGGUUAUGUUUAUUUAGUUGAGAUGUUUUUGCUGUGUUCACCUAAUCAUCUUCAUGACCCAGGCCUUGGUCGCUUUGGUCUUGGUAUUGGAUAAAUGGACUUUUGAACCAAAAAAAAAGAUAAAUGGACUAUUUUCAGGCGUUGAAUGCUGAAGUUUAAACCUAGCCCGUUACACUUGCUCUUGAAAUGAAUAACAGAACCCAAAAAUCUUGACCCUUCAUGUGGUAAAUUUUCUCAUUAAUUGUGACAGAACACACACAAAAACAUUGAUUCACCUUGAAUUACAUAUAUUUCUCUUUCUUAAACUCACCUAAUUACUUUAAAUCAUAUCAUAAUUAAGACCCUCCCUAUAUAUGAAGUGAAGGGGCCUAAGUAAAGAUUGUCACACAUUCUCAUAAAAGAGUCAUACAUGUAUAUAGUAAAGAUGUUGAAAUACCACAAAUUCAACAAACAAUACUAACUAUGUCAUUUUUGUUCCCACAAAACGAGCACAUUCCCAUUAUAAUCAAACUAAAAAGGGUUAGACACCAAUGGUUUUCCUCACACUUCGCAUCACCUUGUAUCCUAUAAGAACCCUUCCUUGCAAAAUCUUAAUCUCCGCAUCCACCACAAUAUCAACCCUUUCCUUGCAGCGUUUCUCUAUCUCUCUUGUUGUAGCUAGAGAAAAACUGCACGCGCCUCUCAUCCUUAUAACAAACAAAACCAAAAAUAUUUUCUAUCAGAAUGGCACGUGCACGCUAUGUUGUGGUUCUUGCCUUUGUCAUGUUCGCCAUCAUUGGCAUCGCACGUGCCGCCGAGGCACCCUCCACCAACGAGUCCGACUACGAAGAAGAUGACACUGAGUUCAUGAUCGGAACUAAGGGUGGCGACGCUCCUUCACCCGGCACUGUUGUCGCCGCUCCCAUCGGUGGGCCCGUGCCUCCCGGUGCCUUCGACAAUGCUAAUGCUCAGGCUGAGGCACCCGCUUCCGCCGCCUCUUCCCUCCACCAAGUUUCAGCUGUUGCCGGAGCUGCCACCGCCGCUCUCGCCGGCUUCUUCUACUUCUAAUUGAUUCUGAUCGUUUGGUUCAGCAAUGCAUGCUAAGAUAGAGAGGAAUAGGAUUAAUGUUUAUAUCUGUUUCUUCUCGAUCGCACGUGCAUGCGUGUUGUUUUUUUAAUUUGGACAUGUAAUCGUCAAGUUUGUUUGGUUAUGAAACCCAACUAAUCAACGAUUUUUUUCAUGCUAAUAUAUAUGAUCAUGCUUGAAUAAAAGAAGCUUAAUUGAUAAUAACUACUCAGUUUUUAACGUUGAGAGUUGUUUAUGGUACCUUAUUUUUGUUUAGAUUUAGAAUAAAGCUUCAAACAUCAUUGGACACACACGUUGAAGCUUAAUUUGUUUAGUUGGGAAACACCGUUUUAGAAAGUCAAAUAUAACA